AAAAAAUUAGUUAAAUUAUAACAUUAAAAUGUCAUUUUAAAAUAAUUUUAAAAAAAAUAUUUUUUA
rnacentral:tRNA from 1 species